UUGAUGCUUAGCGCAUUCCGGCGAGUUCGUGCACGCAGCUUGCAUGAGAGUUUCCUGCGUUUCCUGUGUUCUUUGUGUGCUUCGCUGUGACAUCUUUGGAAUAUUUCUGCGUGUUGCUCGCUUUUUAUGGACUUGUUGCCUCGAAGAUCGCCAUGAUCGCCUCCGACUCGGCGACAUCAAGGAUUCAAAAUGAGCUGGGGGAGGCCCCAGCUGGAACGGUUCACAUAGGUUGAAGGAGUGCACAUUGAGAAGGUUAUCCUGGCACAGUUUACCAUGGCCUGCCAUGGUGGACCAGGAAAGUUUGCAAGGGCCUUGCUUCACCAUGUGUUCACAGAGGAGGAGCUCAUGGGCCAUUUGCGCUUUGGAAAUAACACCAAGGGGCAAAAAAGGCCCUUGACCCCACCAGGGUCAGUGCUGUU